GUGAUUCUGUGAUGUGACAGAUACUUACUGCAAUGGAUUCCUCAGAUGUUAAGUCUGAACUACAUGAUGACUGCAGGUCAGCGGAUUCAGACCCUUCAACAGGACCAACAUCAUUCUUCUCGCAUACUUCCAUCUCCUGUUCUUUAGCUCCAUCUUUUAAACUUUGUAAUGUAGAUUCAUCUAGACUGGGUUCAUCCUCCAAACUAAUUGUUUCUUUCUCUACAUUGAUCAUACCUUCACUGUCAGGUGUCUCAUUUUCAUCAUGAUGUUCUUUUUCUUUUCUUUGUCCAUGUUUCCCUCU